CGCCUGUUUAACAAAAACAUGUCUUUUUGAAUUUAAUUUAAAGUCUGACCUGCCCACUGAAAAAUUUUAAAUGGCCGCAGUAUACUAACUGUGCAAAGGUAGCAUAAUCAUUAGUCUUUUAAUUGAAGGCUGGUAUGAAUGGUUGGACGAAAUAUUAACUGUUUCAUGAAUAUUUAUAAUAGAAUUUUAUUUUUUAGUCAAAAAGCUAAAAUUUAUUUAAAAGACGAGAAGACCCUAUUAAUCUUUAUAUUUAUAUUAUUAUAAUUUUUUAGAUUUUUUUUAUUAUAAUAAUAAAUUAUAUUUUAUUGGGGUGAUAUUAAAAUUUAAUAAACUUUUAAUUGUUUAAAUCAUUAAUUUAUGAAUAAUUGAUCCGUUAUUAGCGAUUAAAAAAACAAGUUACUUUAGGGAUAACAGCGUAAUUUUUUUGGAGAGAACAUAUCGAUAAAAAAGAUUGCGACCUCGAUGUUGGAUUAAGAUAUAAUUUUAGGUGUAGCCGCUUAAAUUUUAAGUCUGUCCGACUUUUAAAUUCUUACGUGAUCUGAGUUCAGACCGG
rnacentral:rRNA from 1 species